rnacentral:rRNA from 1 species
UACGUAGGGGGCAAGCGUUGUCCGGAUUUAUUGGGCGGAAAGAGCGUGUAGGCGGCCAGAUAGGUCAGCUGUGAAAACUCGAGGCUCAACCUCGAGACGUCGGUUGAAACCAUCUGGCUAGAGUCCGGAAGAGGAGAGUGGAAUUCCCGGUGUAGCGGUGAAAUGCGCAGAUAUCGGGAAGAACACCCGUGGCGAAGGCGGCUCUCUGGGACGGUACUGACGCUGAGACGCGAAAGCGUGGGGAGCGAACAGG